CCAGAUCUAUUACUUCCUUCUGA
rnacentral:miRNA from 1 species